rnacentral:rRNA from 1 species
AAAGCUUCGGUGAGCCGGUAAAAGGCUAAGACCCGGAGAUAUCCGAAUGGGGGAACCCGACAGAUGUAAAAGAUCUGUCAUUGUAUGCUGAAUACAUAGGCAUACAAGGCGAGACCCGCUGAACUGAAACAUCUUAGUAAGCGGAGGAAAAGAAAUCGAAGAGAUUUCCUGAGUAGCGGCGAGCGAAAGGGGAAGAGCCUAAACCGUGUAUAUAUACACGGGGUUGUAGGGUCAGAGAAUAAGAGAGCAAGAAUUUUAGUUGAAUACUACUGGAAAGUAGAACGACACAGGGUGAUAGUCCCGUAAACGAAAAGAGGAAGGCCUCGAUCUGAUACCUGAGUAGAACUAGACACGUGAAACCUAGUUUGAAUCUGGGGAGACCACUCUCCAAGGCUAAAUACUAGUCAAUGACCGAUAGUGAACCAGUACUGUGAAGGAAAGGCGAAAAGAACCCUUGUUAAGGGAGUGAAAUAGAACCUGAAACCAGUAGCUUAUAAGCGGUCGGAGGCCUAUUAAUUC